rnacentral:rRNA from 1 species
UGACGUCAAGUCAUCAUGGCCCUUACGGCCUGGGCUACACAACGUGCUACAAUGGUCGGUACAAAGGGUUGCCAAGCCGCGAGGUGGAGCUAAUCCCAUAAAAACCGAUCGUAGUCCGGAUCGCAGUCUGCAACUCGACUGCGUGAAGUCGGAAUCGCUAGUAAUCGUGAAUCAGAAUGUCACGGUGAAUACGUUCCCGGGCCUU